UCGAACGCUUCUUUCCUCCCGAGUGCUUGCACUCAAUUGGAAAGAGGAGUGGCGGACGGGUGAGUAACACGUGGGUAACCUACCCAUCAGAGGGGGAUAACACUUGGAAACAGGUGCUAAUACCGCAUAACAGUUUAUGCCGCAUGGCAUAAGAGUGAAAGGCGCUUUCGGGUGUCGCUGAUGGAUGGACCCGCGGUGCAUUAGCUAGUUGGUGAGGUAACGGCUCACCAAGGCCACGAUGCAUAGCCGACCUGAGAGGGUGAUCGGCCACACUGGGACUGAGACACGGCCCAGACUCCUACGGGAGGCAGCAGUAGGGAAUCUUCGGCAAUGGACGAAAGUCUGACCGAGCAACGCCGCGUGAGUGAAGAAGGUUUUCGGAUCGUAAAACUCUGUUGUUAGAGAAGAACAAGGACGUUAGUAACUGAACGUCCCCUGACGGUAUCUAACCAGAAAGCCACGGCUAACUACGUGCCAGCAGCCGCGGUAAUACGUAGGUGGCAAGCGUUGUCCGGAUUUAUUGGGCGUAAAGCGAGCGCAGGCGGUUUCUUAAGUCUGAUGUGAAAGCCCCCGGCUCAACCGGGGAGGGUCAUUGGAAACUGGGAGACUUGAGUGCAGAAGAGGAGAGUGGAAUUCCAUGUGUAGCGGUGAAAUGCGUAGAUAUAUGGAGGAACACCAGUGGCGAAGGCGGCUCUCUGGUCUGUAACUGACGCUGAGGCUCGAAAGCGUGGGGAGCAAACAGGAUUAGAUACCCUGGUAGUCCACGCCGUAAACGAUGAGUGCUAAGUGUUGGAGGGUUUCCGCCCUUCAGUGCUGCAGCAAACGCAUUAAGCACUCCGCCUGGGGAGUACGACCGCAAGGUUGAAACUCAAAGGAAUUGACGGGGGCCCGCACAAGCGGUGGAGCAUGUGGUUUAAUUC
rnacentral:rRNA from 1 species